rnacentral:rRNA from 1 species
CCCGUGGUGCUACAUAGCCAGAUCGUUACGUAUCAGGGUGAGCCUGUUCACAGUUAGAAUGACGUGGCUUGCACAUGAUUUUAACAAUGAAGCGAGUAGGCGAACUGGUGAGUAACACGUGGGAAAUCUGCCCAGAAGCAGGGGAUAACACUUGGAAACAGGUGCUAAUACCGUAUAACAACAAAAUCCGCAUGGAUUUUGUUUGAAAGGUGGCUUCGGCUAUCACUUCUGGAUGAUCCCGCGGCGUAUUAGUUAGUUGGUGAGGUAAAGGCCCACCAAGACGAUGAUACGUAGCCGACCUGAGAGGGUAAUCGGCCACAUUGGGACUGAGACACGGCCCAAACUCCUACGGGAGGCAGCAGUAGGGAAUCUUCCACAAUGGACGAAAGUCUGAUGGAGCAAUGCCGCGUGAGUGAAGAAGGGUUUCGGCUCGUAAAACUCUGUUGUUAAAGAAGAACACCUUUGAGAGUAACUGUUCAAGGGUUGACGGUAUUUAACCAGAAAGCCACGGCUAACUACGUGCCAGCAGCCGCGGUAAUACGUAGGUGGCAAGCGUUGUCCGGAUUUAUUGGGCGUAAAGCGAGCGCAGGCGGUUUUUUAAGUCUGAUGUGAAAGCCUUCGGCUUAACCGGAGAAGUGCAUCGGAAACUGGGAGACUUGAGUGCAGAAGAGGACAGUGGAACUCCAUGUGUAGCGGUGGAAUGCGUAGAUAUAUGGAAGAACACCAGUGGCGAAGGCGGCUGUCUAGUCUGUAACUGACGCUGAGGCUCGAAAGCAUGGGUAGCGAACAGGAUUAGAUACCCUGGUAGUCCAUGCCGUAAACGAUGAGUGCUAAGUGUUGGAGGGUUUCCGCCCUUCAGUGCUGCAGCUAACGCAUUAAGCACUCCGCCUGGGGAGUACGACCGCAAGGUUGAAACUCAAGGAAUUGACGGGGGCCCGCACAAGCGGUGGAGCAUGUGGUUUAAUUCGAAGCUACGCGGAAGACCUUUACCAGGUCUUGACAUCUUCUGCCAAUCUUAGAGAUAAGACGUUCCCUUCGGGGACAGAAUGACAGUGUGCAUGUUGUCGUCAGCUCGUGUCGUGAGAAUGUUGGUAAGUCCCGCAACGAGCGCAACCCUUAUUAUCAGUUGCAGCAAUCAGUUGGGCACUCUGGUGAGAACUGCGGUGACAACGAGCAGGUGGAUGACGUCAAUCAUCAUGCCUUAUGACCUGGGCCUACACGGUGCUCAAUGAACGUACACGAUGGCAGUCUGAGCUAGGCUAGUCUCUAAACCGCUUCUAGAUGUCG